UACGUAGGUGGCAAGCGUUGUCCGGAUUUACUGGGCGUAAAGAGCGCGCAGGCGGUCGUGCAAGUCGCGUGUGAAAGCCCCCGGCUCAACUGGGGAGGGUCACGCGAUACUGCUCGACUUGAAGGCAGGAGAGGGAAGUGGAAUUCCCGGUGUAGUGGUGAAAUGCGUAGAUAUCGGGAGGAACACCAGUGGCGAAGGCGGCGUUCUGGACUGCAACUGACACUGAGGAACGAAAGCCAGGGGAGCAAACGGG
rnacentral:rRNA from 1 species